rnacentral:rRNA from 1 species
GUGGGGAAUUUUGGACAAUGGGCGAAAGCCUGAUCCAGCCAUGCCGCGUGCAGGAUGAAGGCCUUCGGGUUGUAAACUGCUUUUGUACGGAACGAAAAGACUCCUUCUAAUAAAGGGGGUCCAUGACGGUACCGUAAGAAUAAGCACCGGCUAACUACGUGCCAGCAGCCGCGGUAAUACGUAGGGUGCAAGCGUUAAUCGGAAUUACUGGGCGUAAAGCGUGCGCAGGCGGUUAUAUAAGAAAGAUGUGAAAUCCCCGGGCUCAACCUGGGAACUGCAUUUGUGACUGUAUAGCUAGAGUACGGUAGAGGGGGAUGGAAUUCCGCGUGUAGCAGUGAAAUGCGUAGAUAUGCGGAGGAACACCGAUGGCGAAGGCAAUCCCCUGGACCUGUACUGACGCUCAUGCACGAAAGCGUGGGGAGCAAACAGGAUUAGAUACCCUAGUAGUCC